UACGGGGGGGGCAAGCGUUGUUCGGAAUUACUGGGCGUAAAGGGCUCGUAGGCGGCCAACUAAGUCAGACGUGAAAUCCCCAGGCUCAACCUGGGAACUGCGUCUGAUACUGGAUGGCUUGAAUCCGGGAGAGGGAUGCAGAAUUCCAGGUGUAGCGGUGAAAUGCGUAGAUAUCAGGAGGAACACCGGUGGCGAAGGCGGGUCUCUGGGCCGAUACUGACGCUGAGGAACGAAAGCGUGGGGAGCGAACAGG
rnacentral:rRNA from 1 species